CACACGCAGCACUCUGUUCUCUCACGCGAGUCACGCCUCCGCCUCUCUCUGUCGAUUCACGGCCGCACGGCGGCGGCGCACGCCUCUGGAUCUCUCUCUCGUUCGUGCCUCUUCCUGCUCUCCAACGAACCAACAACGAAGCUCAGUGCUCAGUGCUCUCCAACGAACCAACAACGACAGUGCCUCUCCCUCUCAACUGAUUGAAGCUCUCACUCUCAGUCACUCACUCAAAGUCAAAACUCAAAAGGUGGAGAUGUGGUGUCCAAUCCCCGGGAGUUUUAUUCAUCUCGCAACAGCAGUAUCAGAAUCCAUGGUUGAUUUGACCAUGAUGACAACUCUUUGUGUUUAAAGUCUUCCUGACAAUGAUUGCUACGCGGCGUGUUCCGUUCAUGAGGAGCCAACAACAGUGCAGAUGGAGCGUCGGGCCAUUGAAAAAUACAUCAACUCCUACUCCAUAGAAAUGCCCGUGUUUCAAAACUUAAUCAAAAUUGAGAUAUGCUUUGGUUGCUUUCCUGGCUGGGAUGGGGUAGGGGAAGUGCUCCGUUAUUGUCCCAAGCUUCAAAAUCUUGUCAUUGAAAAGAGUGCUUACAGGGAAUUUUACAAAAAGAAAUGGGCAUACACAGAACCUGUUCCAGAAUGUAUUUUAUUGCAUCUCAAAACAUGCUCCAUUGGAAGCUAUCAAGGCAUGUAUGAAGAUUUUACAUUUGCUGGUUGCUGCAUAUAUCCUGCAGAAUGCGUGGUUCUUACAAGUGAUGACCCUUCAGAGUACCUGUUACGCGGAGAUAUAUGAGAAGGACAUUUUUUUCAAACAUUUAUCCCGAUGUCCGAAAAUCUCUCGAGCAUGUAAAUUUUUUUUGGAUACAAAGGAAAUAAACAACAAGAACAUGAAUAGCUAAGUGCCACUUAAUUAAGGUAAUUACUUCUUGAGGCAGGGAGUUAGAGGACAUAACCUCAUCCUUAGUUAUUUAAGU